rnacentral:rRNA from 1 species
GGUGGCAAGCGUUGUCCGGAAUUAUUGGGCGUAAAGCGCGCGCAGGCGGAUUGGUCAGUCUGUCUUAAAAGUUCGGGGCUUAACCCCGUGAUGGGAUGGAAACUGCCAAUCUAGAGUAUCGGAGAGGAAAGUGGAAUUCCUAGUGUAGCGGUGAAAUGCGUAGAUAUUAGGAAGAACACCAGUGGCGAAGGCGACUUUCUGGACGAAAACUGACGCUGAGGCGCGAAAGCCAGGGGAGCGAACGGGAUUAGAUACCCCGGUAGUCCUGGCCGUAAACGAUGGGUACUAGGUGUAGGAGGUAUCGACCCCUUCUGUGCCGGAGUUAACGCAAUAAGUACCCCGCCUGGGGAGUACGACCGCAAGGUUGAAACUCAAAGGAAUUGACGGGGGCCCGCACAAGCGGUGGAGUAUGUGGUUUAAUUCGACGCAACGCGAAGAACCUUACCAGGUCUUGACAUUGAUGGACAGAACUAGAGAUAG